CGAAUCAAUUCACAAUUUAUUUUGUAUAUUAAUUAGAUUCCGCGCUCAUCAGUACGUACUCACUGGCGAGAUCGAGAAAAUGUAUCGGCAAUUCCUCGUACGACCAGAGGAUCGGAAAUAUCAAAGGAUAUUAUGGCGCAGCGCGAGUGGAGAAACAGAAACAUAUGAGCUUAACACCGUAAUACUCUUAUCAUAGAAAUAGAAGCAGUCCUCAAUUCCCGCCCGCUAACUCCUAUCUCCACCGAUCCAAAUGAUCUCCUAGCCCUCACUCCCGGACAUUUCCUCAUUGGCGAUUCAUUAAUGUGCUUACGUGAUCGAGAUUUCAGAGACAUUCCAUCGAACCGACUCUCCAAAUGGCAGCAUAUCCAACAGCUUAAACAACAUUUUUGGAACCGCUGGCAUAAGGAGUAUUUGAACGAGCUAACCAACCGCAAUAAAUGGAGCAAGGGUGGACACAGCAUCCAAAAGGGCACAAUCGUCAUCCUCAGAGAGGACAACGUUCCCUCCAUGCAUUGGCCUCUGGGCCGAGUUAUCAAGGUUCAUUCAGGCGCCGAUGGUGUCAUCCGGACAGCUACAGUUCAGACGGCAAAGAGCAUUUUGGAUCGGGGCGUCAAAAGGCUUGUCCCACUGCCAAUUCAACCCGAUCUCGAGAAACCCGAACAACUAGCCACCGAGCCGAAAUAAGAUGGGAACUUCAACCACACCUCGCUAGUUUGAUCGGUACCCUCUCAACGGGGGGAGAAUGUUACGCCAUGCGGCUUACCAUAGGUCAUAUUCUUAACUAUCGAUCGCGGCACUAUAAUGUCGCAGACGGAUCGUCGCGUCUGCCCGGCAAACAAACAUUGUAGUGGCAAGCGCAUGGUUCAUUAAGCAGGGCGACUUCCAGAAACGUCGACUCGUGGCCCGUAUUUUACCUCGCAUAAAAGAAUGUGGCGUGAUCCGAACGUAGUGGGGGUCGCCUUCCAGAAAAAACGAAAAAAAUCGAAAGGCGUUCAGAACUUUUCGAGAAGUCGAACCGUCAACACAUGUGGGCAAUCCGGUGGACUUGAUCGGCUUUUUACUUCGAAAGUUGAGUAAUCGGUGUCGCUUUCUUACGCAUCUUUGAACUGUAUAAAUGUUUUAAAAUUGUUUGAUCCAGAAUGUACCACACCGGACAAUCAAGAAGGCAGGUGCCUUGACUACAGAAAAUGUAAACCUCUGCAAGAAAUAUGGCAGAUACAGUACCGUACAGCCACCGAUUUUUAUAGACGAUCAGUGUGCAGAUACCAGGUCAAUGUUACGAUCGUUUGCUGUCCGAACGAUCCAAACAAAGAGAAGAGAGAAAUUUUAAUAAAAACUGUGUAUAAGUAUAAGGCUUUGCGACCACCAUACUGUGGUUUUAGCAACGUCUCUCAUACCAGGGUGGUCGAUGGUAAACCAGCUGAACUUGGAAGAGUAUCUUUUUGCUUGAAAUAAAAAAUUGAUAUAGGAGUAAUAAUAUGGAUAGAGAUCAAAAACUGUUAGGGCAGAAAUUACACGUUUGAACUUUAUAGUUCAGUAUAGUUCAAAUAGAAAUUAUAUAGAAUUAUUUAAUAAUUUGUAUUCCACUGGAAUAAAAAUUUAAUUUCUGUCUUUAUCAAAUCUCUAUUUCAGAGUAUUUGUACGUAUGUACUUAUCGUCUGCUGUAUGAUCGAAUAUCGAAUAGGUAAUAAUCGUUGUUACUCGUUAUGUGAGAAAAAAUUAUGUAUAUUCACAACUAUGACUAUUGCAUUUUAGGCGCUUGGCCAUGGAUCGCUGCAUUAGGUUUUCGUAAUCCCCGAAACCCAGACAAACCACUAUGGAAGUGCGGAGGUUCCCUGAUAUCGGCUAGGCAUGUUUUAACCGCAGCACAUUGUGCACAUAUGGAUGGAAUAGAAAACAUACACAAUCAUAAUAUUGCCAUUCUUAGAUAGGUGGAGGAGGUGCCAUUUUCGAGUAAGUCCUCAAAUAUAUAUAUAUAUGCUAUUGAGUAUUACUGAAGUAUCAUAUCCUGAAAUUUCUUACUGUACACAUAUAUUGUGUCAUAAAGCGUGUACAAUUCUUUCUCAUACUUUUGGUCAUUCGUUUCCUGCAUUUUCAUUUAUUUUUUUAUUUUUCAGGGUACGUAUAUCCCAUUUGUACGAAAGAGCAACUUCGUCGGCUAUAACCCCCUUGUUGCUGGAUGGGGAGCGUUAAGAUAUAGCAAGUGAUAUCAAUUUUAUAAUAAAAUUAAACAGUUCCAGUCUUAAAUAUCUUUCUCAUUUUCUUCGUAGGACGACCACGACCUAAUGCAUUAAUGGAAGUACAAAUGCCAGUGAUUAAGAACGCCGAAUGCAAAAUAGCUUAUUCCAAAUUUCCUAAUGCACCUGAUAUCACUGAUGGUAUAAUAUGCGCCGAACAUGCUCAGGGUGGAGAGGAUUCUUGUACGGUAAUUAAGUUACAGAGUUACUACAAACUAUACGGUAUCUGAAGACACGUCAAUUCAAAUUAACAUCAAAUCGACGUCUUAAACAUUAAAAAUAAUAGAUAAACACAAUUUAAUAGUUUUGCCCACUUCUCACACCUCGUUAUGGUAUUUAAUCUAAUUUCCUUCUAAUCUUAGUUUUGCUCAAAAUACAUAUAACAUGUACGUUAUAAAUUGGAGUAUUUCAAUACACAAAUCAAUAGAAGAUUAUUACUGUAUAUAAGUAUAAUUUCAAUGCAAUUCGAUCGAUAUAUUUCAGUAUCUUUGAUUAAAAAUUUAACGAUCCUUUCAGGCUGACCGUGGCGGACCACUGCUGAUACAACAUGAAUUAACCUCGUAUUUAAUAGGUAUUGUGUCUUAUGCUUAUAAGUGUGGCACAGCUGGGUAUCCCAGCGUUUACACUAGGGUCACAUCGUACCUUGACUUCAUUCUCCAAGCGAUGCAAUAAUAUGAUAUUACUGUUCCAUAAAUAUCAUUGUGUAAAAAACGUAAAGUUGGAUUUUCUUAUUGUGGAGAUAAGAAACAGCUCAAAUUUACAUUGUUUUGUACGUUACAAAUUAUAGGCUUAAAAUGUACGAAAUGUAACUUUGAAACGACACUAAUUUUUUACGCACGAUAAACCUCCAUGACUUAGAUUAUAGAUUCCUAUACGACUCUCAGUAAAAAUUUAUCCGCACUCCAGAUAGUUAAAACUUCUGUCGACCGUAUUGAUCCAUCUGCACUCUUCGUAUGACGUCAAUAUCUGUUCAGUGCUGCUGCGCAGGUUUCUUUGUGUUACGUCAAUUCGUUUGUGACCGUUGCGCGAGUAAUGGCGCUUUGCAAUGGUGAU